AGUGAACGCUGGCGGUAGGCCUAACACAUGCAAGUCGAACGGCAGCACAGUAAGAGCUUGCUCUUACGGGUGGCGAGUGGCGGACGGGUGAGGAAUACAUCGGAAUCUACUUUUUCGUGGGCGAUAACGUAGGGAAACUUACGCUAAUACCGCAUACGACCUACGGGUGAAAGCAGGGGAUCUUCGGACCUUGCGCGAUUGAAUGAGCCGAUGUCGGAUUAGCUAGUUGGCGGGGUAAAGGCCCACCAAGGCGACGAUCCGUAGCUGGUCUGAGAGGAUGAUCAGCCACACUGGAACUGAGACACGGUCCAGACUCCUACGGGAGGCAGCAGUGGGGAAUAUUGGACAAUGGGCGCAAGCCUGAUCCAGCCAUACCGCGUGGGUGAAGAAGGCCUUCGGGUUGUAAAGCCCUUUUGUUGGGAAAGAAAAGCAGCAGGUUAAUACCCCGCUGUUCUGACGGUACCCAAAGAAUAAGCACCGGCUAACUUCGUG
rnacentral:rRNA from 1 species